CCUACGGGUGGCAGCAGUGGGGAAUAUUGCACAAUGGGGGAAACCCUGAUGCAGCGACGCCGCGUGAGUGAAGAAGUAUUUCGGUAUGUAAAGCUCUAUCAGCAGGGAAGAAAAUGACGGUACCUGACUAAGAAGCCCCGGCUAACUACGUGCCAGCAGCCGCGGUAAUACGUAGGGGGCAAGCGUUAUCCGGAUUUACUGGGUGUAAAGGGAGCGUAGACGGCUGAGCAAGUCUGAAGUGAAAGGCGGGGGCCCAACCCCCGGACUGCUUUGGAAACUGUAUAGCUAGAGUGCAGGAGAGGUAAGUGGAAUUCCUAGUGUAGCGGUGAAAUGCGUAGAUAUUAGGAGGAACACCAGUGGCGAAGGCGGCUUACUGGACUGUAACUGACGUUGAGGCUCGAAAGCGUGGGGAGCAAACAGGAUUAGAUACCCUGGUAGUC
rnacentral:rRNA from 1 species